GACGAACGCUGGCGGCGUGCCUAACACAUGCAAGUCGAACGGGGUAGUUCCUUCGGGGACUACUUAGUGGCGAACGGGUGAGUAACGCGUGAGAAACCUGCCUUUCAGUGGGGGACAACAGUUGGAAACGACUGCUAAUACCGCAUAAUGUUUCGAGAGGGCAUCCUUUUGAAACCAAAGCUUUAUGUGCUGAAAGAUGGUCUCGCGUCUGAUUAGCUAGUUGGUGAGGUAACGGCUCACCAAGGCGACGAUCAGUAGCCGGUCUGAGAGGUUGAACGGCCACAUUGGGACUGAGAUACGGCCCAGACUCCUACGGGAGGCAGCAGUGGGGAAUAUUGGGCAAUGGGGGCAACCCUGACCCAGCAACGCCGCGUGAAGGAAGAAGGCUUUCGGGUUGUAAACUUCUUUUACCAGGGACGAAGAAAGUGACGGUACCUGGAGAAAAAGCCACGGCUAACUACGUG
rnacentral:rRNA from 1 species